rnacentral:tRNA from 1 species
AAGAUUUUAAGUUAAAAAAACUGUUAACCUUCAAAGUUAAAAAUAAAU